GUGGACCAUGAAAUAACAGGCACAUUAUUAACCUACAUGGGUGGACCAUGAAAUAAUAGCUGCCAAACAAUCUGAUGGCAGCUAUUACGUUAUAACCCCAGAUAUUGUCUAUGUUCAAUGUAUGUGUAGAUGUUGUCUAAGUUCAAUGUAUUUAAAACCUAUACAACCAUUCGCCCACUUUUCAGCAGCAUUUGUAAAGAGGGAAAACAGAGCAUAACGGGAGAACCAAGAAAUUUGAACAGUAGGAAUGGCAGAUCUGAAGUUUGAAGCGAGUUUUCUUCAGAGCAUCGUUGAAGCGAGUGUUCCAGAAAGAGCAUUGUGAAAAUUCCCGUGAUAGACUCGAAAAGGCGUGCAGAUUGGAAGAAAAGAGACGAGUAUCCAGGGAUGCUCAAAACCCUACCUGAAAGUGAGGGAUUCGAAAGAUGUGCCCGAUCCAGUUGCCCGAUGAUCGUCUGGAAUUCAGGAGGUCAAAGAAUUGGACGAUGUAAAAAUAUGCCGGAUGUAAAAUAAUUGUAUUUGUUCAAUUUAUUUUUGAAACUGAGUUCUUAUUGGGUAUUGAAGAGUGAUUGUGGCCUAUUGGAAGUAGGAUGUGUAAUUAAUGAUUUCUUAGGCCUUAUUCUCAAAAUAGCCUUUAUAAAAAUACUUUCUAGAACAAAUAAUGAGGUGGGAUCUAGGAAGUAGUUGGCUUCCCCAAAAGGUUUCAAACAUCUCAUCAUUAAAGGAUAUUUAAUGGUCAUGCUUAACAUUGUUUGAAAUAGGUGUUCUCCAAAAUACAAGUUGAGAAACAUUCUCAAAUUUUCCUAGCCAUUAUUGGACAAGUUGAGACUUCUUCUCGACUAGACGUUAUUUCCAAAGAGCAAACUCGAACUGACCAUUCAUUGUUUCCAAUAAGUAAAUAGAAUAGCAUACCUCUAGCCCAAUCAUGGUAUUGGCACUCUUGAAAAACUAAGCAUUCAUUAUUUUCAAGAAGUGAAUAUGAUAGCAAUCAUAGCAUGCAUCUAGUUUAAUCAUGGUUUUGAUCUUGAUCCUCUUGAGGAACUAAUUAUUCACAAUAAUAUGGAUAGAUAUAAACUAUUGGGGUACCUUUUUCUUUUGAAGAACUAACCAUACACAAUAAGGAAGAUAGAUGGAAACUAUUGAGGGACCUUUUACUUUUGGAAUUUGGAGAGGGAUUUCAUUUCAAUAGUUUGUUUUUGGAAUUUUGCUUCAUUUUUGUAAGCUUUAUUUAGGUACAAUCUAUGUUAAGUGAACCAUUCAUGUUCAUGAGAGAUAGAUUCAUGUGAAUUUUUCCUCAUAAAAUAGAGUCAAUGAGUUUGAUUAAAAAAGUAUAUAAUUAAAUUAUUUCAAAACAACAUAUACAAAAAUAUCUCUUGUAAUUUUAUUCCAAUUAGUCUUUGUUUCCUCAUGUGAACAUGUAAUUUUAUCUUUAAGCCUUGAUUCAAAAUGAUGGGAACUUUAAAAUGACAAAGUGUUUUGAUUCGCAUGCUUAACGCACUCCAAUUGGGUAUAUUAUUGAUAAGGGUGAGUUGGAUAGGCAUUCUUUUUAACUUUUAAGAUUGAGUUGUGAAACAUUGAGUUCUCCAUUGGUUUACCAUGGAUAAAGCUUUAUGUUUGUAAAAUCAUAGAAGCAUCAAGUUAAGCUGGAAAUACUUGUUUUUUAGGUUUAAGGCACUACUAAAUCAAAUGCUUAUGCCACUCCACUUUCCCUAUAUCAUUGGAAAUGGUAAGAUGGAUUGGUAUUUAUCUUUCUUUUGCUAAUUUUAUCUUUUAAGAUUGAGUUGUAAAGCAUUAAGCUAUCUAUUGAGUUAUCACGAAACUUAAGUUCUUUAUGUACCCAAAGAUGAUGGAAAUUAAAUUAGAAUGCCCUAUUGUUGGGAUAUAGCAAAAAAGUCUCCAUGAUUCAAUCUAGAAUUAUUCACUAGCAAAUUCUAGCUGUGUUGGGUAUAGGCAAUGUUGAGGUAGAGAUGCACAAUUGUGCAAACAUAAAGAUAACCUCGAAGUUCUUUUAAAGAUGCUCAAUUUCUCUAGGGAUAAAAAGAUGGCAAUGUUGAUGGCUAGAGCAUAAGAUCAUGAGAAAUAUAGAGGUGGGCUUAAGAAAGCAUUAGAGUCAACGUAAAUAUAGAUCAAAAGUUGGAACGAAAUUGAGAUUAAUUUAGUGCCAAUUUUUUUACAUAUGGUAACAAUUUAUGGUCAAGUCUUUAGGUUUAGUUCAAUAUCAUGUCAAUGUGGGGUGUAAACUUGUGAAAUAUGUAGUGGUUGUUUGCUUAAAGGUUGUAGGUAGUAAAGUUGAGUGAAAUACAAUUCAACUAUAUCAACAAAGAAUUUGUAAAGACUAAAAUUAUUCAACAAAUAAUUUGCAAAGACAAAUUAUUCUCUAGUAAUUGUUUAAAAACUUAAUAUACUAGCUACAAGAACUAUAAUUUUAUUUCAAAUAAAUUAGAAAUUGAAGCUCUUAAAAUGAAAAAAAUAGUAACCUAGAAAUUUUGCUAGUGUCAACAUCAUCCACCUGAAAUCCACAAGUUAACACAAUAAUACUCACAACAAAAGAAAAUUAAGCGAGAGGUGGGGCCACUAAGAGAUUCUAUACCUCAUACCUGUAAAUUGAUAUAAACUAUUGUAAUCAUUCUUCAUACAAUUUGUUAAUAUCACACUACUCAUUAAAACUAAUCCAACAAUUUUAUGAAUUAUGAUCUCACAUCAAUCAUAUAGAAUAAGACUACAUUUAAGGAGAGAAAAUAAUGUCACCAAAACUUCAUGAGAGUGGGCUCUCCUCAUGUUUUUAUGAGGCGAUUGAAAAAAAAAAUUGUAAAUUCUCCAAGAUUCAACUACAUUGUUAUAUACUUUUUUGGGGAUAAAAAAUACACACACACGUGCACGCAUGUCACACACACACACACACACACACACCAAUUCCUUAUUGAAGUUAAUAGAAUUUUUAUGGCUCAUAGCUUUCACUAAAUCCAUUAAAAAUAAGGUACAUGACCGCUCUUCACCAUAAAAUAUAAAACCAAUAUAUCAUCACUCACAACAAAAUAAUAUAUAGUUGUAUUUUUCCCUAUAGUUAUUUAUUAUUGUUUGAUCCCACUCAAACAAAUAAAUCAAUUUUUCCUAAAUUGAAUUUUUGAAGUCUAUUUUAUUCCUUUGAACCUAUUAAAUACAUUCAUUUCCAAAUAAAAUAUUUAAGUAAAGACAUAAGAGGUAAAAUCUAAGUUGGCAUGUAAAUUUGACAAACAAGUCAAAAAAAUAAAAAAUACAUAGGUCUUUGACUCAUCAAAACCCUAACCUUCCAAUUACUUCCAUGGCUUCUUUUAGUAAAUUGAUAAAAUCAAGGUGUAUAAUAAGUGUAUGGGAGUGGGUGUAUGAGUGUGUAUGAUAAAUGCAUAAUCUAGUUCAAUAUAUUAGAAUGUUUUGUAUAUGGAUAGUAUUAUAGAAGAUAAAUGUGUGAGGAUUUGUGUAAGUUGGUAAGUAGAUAAAUUGAAUUUCCAAAGUCUAUUUUAUUCCUUUGAACCUCUUAAAUGCAUUCAUUUCCAAAUAAAAUGUGUGGCAAAAGCCAAGUUGGUAAAUAAAUUCGAUCGACAAUCUGAAUUCUUAUGAUAAUAAAAUACAAAAUUAUUAGACUUUUGACUCAUCAAAAUGCUAACCUUAUAAUUACUUACAUUGCUUCUUUUUAAGGAAUUGAUAAAAUUACUGGGUAAUAAGUUUAUGGGAAUGGGCACAUGAAUAGGUACAAAAAAUACAUAUUCUAGUUCAACAUGUUAGAAAUGUUUUGUAUAUAGAUAGCAUAGAGGAUAAAUGUGUGGGGAUGUAUUUAAGUAGAUAAGUAAGAUUGAUUUAAAAUAUAGAUCCUAUUAUAAGAUUCACAUAUGAUUUUUAUUAAUUGUUAACAACUCUAAAAGUGGAUUUUUAUGGCUUGAAUUGGCAAGUUUGCUCCUAUUGAUAAUUGGAUUACCUCGAUAAAUUGUAUUGGCAAUAGAGGUGAAUGUGGAUAGUUUAAACAUGGCAAUUAAGCUAGAAACAAUUAUUUGUUUAUUUCAACUACCAAAGGUCAAAAUUCUUGAUUUUCAUCUCUUGGAAAGUUCAAGAAUAUGCUUAGGGAGUUUACCAAUCACUUUUGGAGCUGGGCUCUUAUGUUUAUCUUCAUUGAAAUAGAAAUUAUCUAGGUUUAACCAUUGUUGUCAUAGGGUUUGAGGCAAAACAUCUUUUGGAUGGAGAGAAUUACUCUUGCCAUUUUUUGAGAGUUGUAAAGCUAAAAAUUUAGACCAACAUUCAUUCACAUUGAUUAAAAGGAGAUUAUUUACUUUUCCAAUUAUAGUUUUUUCUUAUUUUAGGUUUCAAUAGACUAAAUUGUGUGUCAUUGUCAUUGUAAGAAUUUUGCAUUUAUUUUUAUGCUUGAGUUUUGGUACUAUAUUUCCAUUUUUGCAUUCACUCAAAGGAAUUCCCACUGCACCUCUUUACUUGUUGUUUUUUAGUUUAAUAUUUUUUUAAUUUGCUAUGUUUACAAUAAAGUGUUAUAAUAUUAUUUUCAAUUGUGAAUUUUGAAUGCUAUAAUAUUUAUUAACUUCAUCAUAUAAUAUAAUAUGAGAUUGAAAUGGAAGAGAAAAAUAUAAUUGUGAGAUUGAAGGUGACUAAAAAAUCAUUGUUAUUAAUAUUUUACACUUAAUAUAAGACCUCUCAUAUAGGAGGCUUGUAGCUAACCAUUGCAUUGUGGGGUCAUCCCUUUUUGUGUUUAUUGUUAUUGUUUGAUUUACAUUCUAUAAUUAAAGAAGUCAUCUUAACUUAGUUUUAAUGGGUGAUGUAAAAAUAUUUUCUAAAUAUUUUUAAAGGAUAUCAAAUCACAUAUCUUUAUAUUUUUUAAUAAAAGAAUGCUAAUUAAACUUUGCUUUGUAUAUUCUUUUUAAAUGGUUCAAUAAAAUGAUUGAAAUAUUGAGAUAUUUUAGCCCUCCACAAAGUAUCAAUCCAUCAAAGUAUAGAGUGAAAGUUGGGCAUGUGUGAUGAGUAAGAGGAGGUAACCAAGUGCACCAUAAAAUUUAUGUGGUAUAGUUUGCAUCUUGGAACUUCAGUAUAUAAUUAUUUUCAAUGUUUUAAAAUGAUUUUACUUUAUUUUUGUUAUUUAGAAAAAUUGGUUAAAUUUUUAAAAUCUUAGAUUUGCGAUUCUAACUUUUAACACCAUGAUUGCUCCUGACGACAGCAUCUCAAUCUCAAUGCCAAUUAGUCUACUUGCCAUGCCGACAAAAACAAUUUAGAAUGUCUUUUGUAAAGAGAAUGGUAUGCAAUUGUUCUUCGUUACUCCUCUCUGCUUUCCUGUCUUCCAACUAUCUGCUUGAACUUGAGAACUACGAAGGCCAUCAUAAUGGCUCUAAAGUUUGUCUUAGAAAAGUACAUGAGGAUGCAAACUUAUUUUGUGCCACAAAUUUCAGUGUACUUCAAAGUGCUGCGUCACUUGUGUAACUGAUGGACGAUGGAGAGAUUGCAGUCUUAGGCAUGGUUGUUACGUUUUAUGAAGGGGCCUAUAAGCUUGGAUGUGCAGGUAAGUAUCAUAAUUGGCCAUGUUAGUAAGGAUAAGUUUUGUAAAUAUUUAAUUUUUUAAUGUCAAUUAAUUUAUUAUUUAUUAUAAAUUGGACAUAGAUUUUCAUUAAUAUUUCAGUGUUUUCUUAUCGUAAAAUAUAUUUUGUAUUGUUAAAAGUGAAUUUAUAAGAAUUUUUUUGGGUCUAGAAUGUUUUUUAUUUAACUUAAUUAUUUUUCAAGUGAAUUUUUUUGUUAAAAUAUUUUUAUGUUUUAUUUUUUUUUUUAAAUUAAAUAUUAGAGAAACAAAAUUGUGUAUAAGAAAAUGAAAUUAUAUUUAAAAUAGAAUAUUUUUAUAGACAUGUUUUGUUUUCCUGUUAAAAAAUUAUUAACACUCGUGUAACCCAUCUAAUUCCCUGUUAGAAAUUAGGACUUCUCUUUCCUUGAAAACAUUUAUGAGGUCUUGUUUUAUUUUAUUGGUUCAUAUUCAUGUUCUGCAGCUUUAUGUCUUUAGGUCUUUGUUUUAUUUUCUUGUUUCAAUCGAACUGAGACAGGGAGUGGAAAAGAGAAGCAAACCAACCUUACAUAUAUACAUGGUGCUUGAUAGCUAUUGAGCUUCCCCCUGUUCUGCUUUCUUAUUUGCACUCGAAUUCAAGAUUGAAACCCCUCUUUUUGUGUAACAAUUCAAUUUGGUAACUGAAGGUUGGCCAAAGUGGAAUACACAAUGAAAUGAAUUACCAGUGCUUAUGUCUUUAUUUGUUUUAAAUAGAUCUACAAAGAAGAAGUUGCUUGAUCUAUAAUUAUCUUUUCUAUGAAUAGAUUGGUGAGUUUGUUUCUAUGUAGAUUUUGCUUUUUUAUUUAGUUUAUCACUUUCAUAUCCCAAAAGAAGGGUUGUUUAUUUGAGCAAUGUGUUCUCCUUAAGAAAUUAUUCGUAGAGAAUACUAGCCUUAGAAGAUUAAAAAUGGUAGAUGGAGACAAGUAGUGUUAAGUGUCGUUCUCAAGUUAGAUAAUUGCAGAAAGGAAAACAUAAACACACCACAUUCUCAAGCUGCUUAUAAACAAUCAUAUCAUGGCAGUAAAUACACCAAAGUUUUGUACAAUAUAUCUAUAUCGAGUUGGCUGAAUCGCUCAAGCCAACUAAACAAAGUUGGCAUGCUCUUCGUUUAUAUGGAAAACAAACUUUUACUUGAGAGUUGUUGUUUGAAAUGCAUUCCGAAUUUCUCUAUGUAAUGUUCAUAUCUGUACCUGCACCAAUACCAAUUGCUGGCGAAUUAUUGAUGCCAUCGCCCACCAUUGUAACCAUCUUACCAAACAUCUGCGAUGACUGAAUAAGCCAGGCAAUUCAGACAAGAAUAUGGCAUGUGAAAGGUAAGGCAGGUAAUUGAAGCUUCUGUUGUUUGUUCUUGGUGUUGUAUUGAAUUGAAUCAUGUGAUUAGAUUCAAAGUAUGUGUAUCUGCAGAAGCAAAUUAAAGGCCAAAGCCAUAUUUCCUUUCUUGGACUAUAAUUGAAUUCAAAUUGAAUAGAAAGAUUCAAGCGCUUAGAUAGCUUUACAAUGCAAAACAUUGCAAAUUCAUUAAAAUUCAGGCCUUAAUGGUGGAUUUUUCUUGGGUGUCUCUGAUCUUAAAUUUUUAACAGAAUCAUUUUAGUUUUCAUUCCUUCAUAAGAUGACCCUCAAUGAGAUGUGAAAAUGUCAGUUUCCUACUUUAUUUAA